UAAAAAAAUAAAAAAAUAAAAAAACAAAAAAAACCUCAUUUGAAUGUCAACGUGAAAUACUUAUAAAAAGGCACCAUUUCAAAUCCACGUCAAAAUAACUUUUCAUCCACAUCCGUAAAUUCAAUUUACAUUUGUGGAUCUAGUCAAUUAAAGAUGUAUUGAAUUCUUUUCAAACAAUUUUAAAAUAAAAAUUGCACUUAAAUCUCUUCAUUUGAAAUUCUUCUAUCCAAAAGUAAGGUAGUAGUAUCGAUAAACAUAGGAUAAUUUUGAAGUAAAUCUUGACCUCAACAGCUCAAAUUCUUAAAUACUGAAUUUCCAGGUCCUAUGGGUUAAGGUUGUCUAGUGUCCGCUCAUUGCUAGUCAAUAGCACUUAUGCCUUUGGAUCAUGGUAUCACCACCUAGACACAAACACACACACACACACAUGCGAGCGCACAGAGAUGACAGAAGACAGAACCAUAGCAUAUUGUUUAUCCAAACACAGGAAAAUAGACAGUCAUUGGCUAUAAUAUGAAACGUUUUCUGAUUACUGAGCAAGCAUUUCAACUAGUCAGAAAAAAAAAAAUAUCUAGCUUAAUUUCCAUAGAAUUUGGCAGAAGAGUUGAGAAUCAUGAACAUUAGAAGAAAUUUUUAAACAAACAGAAAUCAUUACGAAAAAAGUUAUGCUUUACAAACUUCUAAAACGUUCAAAUGAUGUAGAAUCAGCUCCAACAAGAUAGAAUAUACCAAUUUCAGGGGUGAUGGAGACACAGCAAAAAAGAUGCAGUACUCUUUGAAACUUACCAAUUAUGCAUUUGCGCAUAACGAGAGUAGGGGCAACACAAUCUUCUUUGGCUUGUGAAAGAAGCAUUUGCCCAACCUCUAGAUCAUCCUUUCUCUCACUGGCCACUAAGAGUAUGGAGUAUGUAACAGUGUUUGGGCACAAGCCAAAACUCUUCAUUUCUGACAGAACUUCAAUAGCCUUAGGUAGUUGAUCCCCAGCACACAGGGCAGUGAUCAAAGCAUUCAUGGUCGAGACUGUUGGGUUUAAUUUAAUGGACUUCAUAUCAUCAUACAGCUCCAGUGCCUUCUGCCAGUUUUUGCCAUUGCUGCAAGCUCCCAUCAGUGAACUAUAUGGUAUAAUUCCAAGUUGUGAUCCUUGAAUCUUGGCUUCCCGUAAGAUAUCAAAUGCAACAUCCACCAUUCCAGCAUGGCCCGCCACAUCUAUCAGUGCACUGAGAAACAUCUCAUCAGGGGCCACGCCUUUCCUUUUCAUGUCAUCAUACACACUGCGUGCAAACUCCCAAUCCCCAGUCUGGCUGCAAGAAUCAACAGCAAUUGUAUAAACCUCAGGAGUGCCCUUGAUGUCAAAUUCAUGCAUCAUGUUAUAUACUUCUUUUGCCCGAUCAACCUGACCAGCCUUUGCACAUGCAUUUAUUAAUGCACCAACAGUAAUGUGAUCAGGAUCAAUAGGCUGUGUCUCAGCCCUCAUUUCUGCUAACACAUCAAAGGCACGAUCCACAGCUCCCGAUUGACCACAUGCAGUGAUAAGUGCAUUGAAGACAACUCGGUCUGGCUUCACUUUCUACUGCACACAACAUCUUGGAUCUCAUUAUCCCAUAAGCACCAAAUGCCUUAGCCAUUUGUCCUGCUCUGCCACAGCCAUCAAUUAGUGUUCCAUAUGUAUGAACAUUUGGUUCAACUCCAGCAUUAACCAUCUCAUGAAACACUUCAAACAUUGCAUCAACUUUUCCACUUUUAGCACAGGUUGAUAUUAGAGUAGUGUAAAGUCUACAAUCAGCUUUCAAUCCAGCUCCCUGAGCAAGUUGUAGAACUUCAAAAGCUCCCUUUGAGUCUUGUGAGCUUGCACACACAGACAUGAGCAUGUUAAAGGUACUCAAGGUUGGGUUAGGAACCAACUUGCAGAAGCGAAAAGCUUCCUUAACAGCCUUUUGAAUCUUGCAGAUCUUGAAAAACUUGGCAUGAUAAAUCUUGCUCAUAUCUAAUAAGCCUCUUCUUUCCAUAUCUUCCAGCAAAUCUACACACUCUGCUAACCUAACAUAUGCUCAAGGAUAAACCCAUGCUUUUAAGAAGGAAUCAGUUAAUUUAUGUAUCAUCAUGAAAAAAAAAUAUAAAGCCAACUAUUAUCUUUGGGACUAUGCUUCAUUGGAGGUCUAUCUUUAAACUAACUUUUGAUUUGAUGGCCAUUAUCUCUACCAUGGAAAUUCGUCAAGAAGACAGGUCAAUAAGCUUAAUAUGAGCAAUUGAAUGAUAAGAAUCACCUUCCAUCUCUUAGCAAACGAUUGUAAGCAUGGACUUGCUCUGGAGGAUGGUCUUUGUCGGUAGCAUGUAUGACAUUUGGGUAGGGAAAAUCAGGUAGUUUUUUAUGGUUAUCUUGAAUCAGAUGUCCUUUUGCCUUGUCUCUUGGAAAUCCUCUCCUUCCUGUAUUUUCAUUUUUGCGGGAAGAACCUCUUUCAUAUGGUGCUAGACGUACUUUUCUUUCAACGGACUCUGCAAUCUGGGGGGAGUGCUGCAGUGACAAUUCGACCUCUUUUACUAUGGCAUUCACCUUCAAGGAAGAAAAGCUAUUGCCAAUGGGAGAGGAGGCAUGAGAACAUACUGUUCUUGAACCAUUCAAGCUUAAUGGUGAUUUCACAACAGAUUUGUUUUCCUCGUAAAAUGUGUAAAGAUCCUCUCUAUCUGAUUCUUCAGAGAUACCAUAAUAGCUGCUAAGGUCAACAUUUUUGCCAGCUUGAGAAUAUACAGAAGGCGAAGUCGUAUCAGAUUGCUCCGUCAUUACUUGAGGAAAUGCAGAAUCACCGUCAAUCUCAUUAUUGCUUUUUUGUAAUGUCAACUUGGACAUUCCCCUAGCAAACACAAGUGGUUUGAUACUUCCUGAUUCAGGAAUUGAAGAAAGUGGAGGUUCAGGCUCUUUUGGAACCACAUAAGUAGAAUCACUAGAAACUGAAAAAUCAGCAUUGGAAGAUUCUGUUGUUUGAACUAGAAGAGAACUGUAACUUGUCACAGUAUCCUCGAGAACUUGAACAUGGGUCACUUUCCCUUCAACGGCAUAGCCAUUUUCUUUGUUACUCCCAGCCAAAUCCUUGCUUUGUGCUGCAAGGGUCCCCCUGUGAGAAUCCCCAACAUCCAAAAAGGGUCUUCCAACAAUGUUCACAAUAUUUCUGCGUAAGUGAGAUAGUCCAACACUAGGGGAACCCAAAUCCUCUUUAGAACUCUUCUUGUAGCUGUUACGGUUAGUUAAGUGCUGAUUCAGGUAAGCAAAAGAGAGAGCAGAGAGAGUAGAAACAGCAACCACAACAAGAACAGAAUCAGAACCAAAAGACGCGUUGAUUAAGAAACUUUGAGAUUGGUUUCGACGAAUCCUAAGCUUACUGCAUUUGCUUCCCCGAAUAGGUCCACCAGGAGGCCUGAGAUUGUGAGAGCAACCAAGGAAUUCUUUACGAAAAGACGAUUUAGUAGAGAUUUGAGCUCCAGAGACUGGGGUUAAGGAAUGGGAUUUUGCAGAGAAGCAUAGCUCCAUAUUAAAAUUGAGAGAAACAGAGAGAAGUGAAGUGGUGGAGAGGAUAGAUAGAGGAAGAGAAAUGAAGUCAUCGUCAC
rnacentral:misc_RNA from 1 species